UACGGGGGGGGCAAGCGUUGUUCGGAAUUACUGGGCGUAAAGGGCGCGUAGGCGGCCUGCUAAGUCGGACGUGAAAUCCCCCGGCUCAACCGGGGAACUGCGUCCGAUACUGGUGGGCUCGAAUCCGGGAGAGGGAUGUGGAAUUCCAGGUGUAGCGGUGAAAUGCGUAGAUAUCUGGAGGGACACCGGUGGCGAAGGCGGCAUCCUGGACCGGUAUUGACGCUGAGGCGCGAAAGCCAGGGGAGCAAACGGG
rnacentral:rRNA from 1 species